rnacentral:lncRNA from 1 species
CUCUCUCUCUCUCUCUCUCUCUCUCUCUCCCUCUCUGUAAGUGUGUGUUGGUACUAGGGAUUGAACCCAAGCCUUCACAAUCAGUUACAUCUUCAACCUUUUAAAAAAUUUAUUUUAUCUUGAGAAAGGGUCUUGGUUAGUUGGUAGAGAAACUUAGCAAUUUAAUGAGGACCUGUUUCAAGAGAAAAAAAAAGGUUGGGGACAUGGCUCAGAGGUAGAGUGGCCCUGGGUUUGAUUCCCAGUAGCUCCCCGCAAAACACUGCUAUUUUAAGAACCCACAGACAUGAAGUCAGACAUUCAGGCAUUUUUAUGCAGUAGGAUUAUAUAAUUAAGAAAAAUAAAAUGUAUGCAUAAAAGCAGAGCGUGGGGGGGCGGGGAUUUAGCUCAGAGGUUUCGCUGCCUGCUGCGCAAGUGCAAGGACCCGAGUUCGAUCCCCGGUACCAAAAAAAAAGAAAAAGAAAAGCAGAGUGUGGACUAAAAAUGAAGUACUAAGUUGUAGAGGUGGGCUAUGGUGUACUCUAGCAUUACUAGCUUGCUGUGCUUAGGGUAUACAGGCUGAUGUAUUGAUACCAAACCUCACCAUUGUUCUUGUUUCCAUAGUAUCCACAGCUGUUUACAGGAAUUCUUUCCCCCUGGAAAGGUCUCCUGCUUUAUGGCCCUCCAGAGUGGUUUUUAAGCCUGCAGAUCAUCCAGCCCCAGGAUCCCAGGUUGCCAUACAUGUCCUGCUGGCUCAAAAUAUCUGCCUGGUGACUGCCUCUUCUGGAGCCAGAGGCUGCCGUGGGACAGGGCUUGCCCCCUGAGCCAUUGCAGUGGGCUGAGUCUGUGUGCAACUCCCUCAUUGUGGUAUGUGAGGCCAGAGAACCACCACUUCUCUGUCCUCAGCUUAUGGCUCAGCAUGUCCCGCGUUUAAAUGUGUCACAUAGGUUAUUUCUAAGAUUAAGUGUCCCCAGCAGGAAGAAACACUUCUUAGACUGUGAUAAGCCUUCUGUUUAUGCUUUCAAAAGGCCAAGUAGGGGUUUUUGUUUUUGGCUUGGUUUUAAGACUGUCUAUUUUUCCCUCCAGUGAUGAAUGUCAUCAUAUGGUAUACCUAACAUGUACCAAUAAAC